ACUGGCCCUAGAAGCAUUCCCAGAGGGAAUGCUUUGUUAUAUGUGCUUCAGUACAUGGAAGAGAAGAGAGAGACUACGUCUAUGUUCAUCAUUAUGAACUAUGAUCAUCUGAACGGUGACUAGCCUAACAUU